GGAGGGGGCAAGCGUUGUUCGGAAUUACUGGGCGUAAAGGGCGCGUAGGCGGUAUGCCAUGUCAGGGGUGAAAGGCCUGGGCUCAACCCAGGAACUGCCUUUGAAACUGGCAAACUAGAGUCCGAUAGAGGAUGGCGGAAUUCCCAGUGUAGAGGUGAAAUUCGUAGAUAUUGGGAAGAACACCAGUGGCGAAGGCGGCCAUCUGGAUCGGCACUGACGCUGAGGCGCGAAAGCGUGGGGAGCAAACAGGGAUUAGAUACCCUGGUAGUCCACGCCGUAAACGAUGUGUGCUAGACGUUGGGGGGUCUUAGACCCUGGGUGUCGUAGCUAACGCGUUAAGCACACCGCCUGGGGGAGUACGGCCGCAAGGUU
rnacentral:rRNA from 1 species